rnacentral:rRNA from 1 species
UACGAAGGGUGCAAGCGUUACUCGGAAUUACUGGGCGUAAAGCGUGCGUAGGUGGUUUGUUAAGUCUGAUGUGAAAGCCCUGGGCUCAACCUGGGAAUUGCAUUGGAUACUGGCAGGCUAGAGUGCGGUAGAGGAUGGCGGAAUUCCCGGUGUAGCAGUGAAAUGCGUAGAGAUCGGGAGGAACACCGAUGGCGAAGGCAGGUCUCUGGGCUGACACUGACGCUCAUGCACGAAAGCGUGGGGAGCAACAGG